rnacentral:rRNA from 1 species
UACGUAGGGGGCGAGCGUUGUCCGGAUUUAUUGGGCGUAAAGAGCUCGUAGGCGGUUUGGUAAGUUGGAUGUGAAAUCUCCAGGCUCAACUUGGAGGGGUCAUUCGAUACUGCCAUGACUAGAGUUCGGUAGGGGAGUGUGGAAUUCCUGGUGGAGCGGUGAAAUGCGCAGAUAUCAGGAGGAACACCCGUAGCGAAGGCGGCACUCUGGGCCGAUACUGACGCUGAGGAGCGAAAGCGUGGGGAGCGAACAGG